rnacentral:rRNA from 1 species
UACGUAGGGGGCAAGCGUUGUCCGGAAUCACUGGGCGUAAAGGGCGCGUAGGCGGCAUGCCAAGCGUGUGGUGAAAGCCCGGGGCUCAACCCCGGGUCGGCCGUGCGGACUGGCGUGCUUGAGCACUGUAGGGGCGGGUGGAAUUCCGGGUGUAGCGGUGGAAUGCGUAGAGAUCGGGAGGAAGGCCGGUGGCGAAGGCGGCGCUCUGGAACAUUUCUGACGCUGAGGCUCGAAAGCGUGGGGAGCAAACAGG